rnacentral:rRNA from 1 species
GAUGAACGCUGGCGGCGUGCUUAACACAUGCAAGUCGAACGGAAAGGCCCAAGCUUGCUUGGGUACUCGAGUGGCGAACGGGUGAGUAACACGUGGGUGAUCUGCCCUGCACUUCGGGAUAAGCCUGGGCAACUGGGUCUAAUACCGGAUAGGACCACUUCUUGGAUGUUGUGGUGGAGAGUUUUUUCGGUGUGGGAUGAGCUCGCGGCCUAUCGGCUUGUUGGUGGGGUAAUGGCCUACCAAGGCGUCGACGGGUAGCCGGCCUGAGGGGGUGUAAGGCCACAUUGGGACUGAGAGACGGCCCAGACUCCUACGGGAGGCAGAAGUGGGGAAUAUUGCACAAGGGGCGCAAGCCUGAUGCAGCGACGCUGCGUGGGGGAUGACGGCCUUCGGGUUGUAAACGCGUUUCGCUAGGGACGAAGCGUUUUGUGACGGUACCUGGAGAAGAAGCACCGGCUAACUACGUG